CGAGCGAUGAACAUUGAAUGAUCCCUUCGGGGUGAUUUCGAUCGGAUUAGCGGCGAACGGGUGAGUAACGCGUGAGGAACCUGCCUCUUACAACGGGAUAGCCUCGGGAAACCGGGAUUAAUACCGUAUAAGACUCCGACACCUCCUGGUGAUGAAGUCAAAGCGUUAGCGGUAAGAGAUGGCCUCGCGUCUGAUUAGUUAGUUGGCGGGGUAACGGCCCACCAAGACGACGAUCAGUAACCGGCCUGAGAGGGUGAACGGUCACAUUGGAACUGAGACACGGUCCAAACUCCUACGGGAGGCAGCAGUGGGGAAUCUUGCACAAUGGGGGAAACCCUGAUGCAGCGACGCCGCGUGAGCGAUGAAGGUUUUCGAAUCGUAAAGCUCUGUCCUAUGGGAAGAUAAUGACGGUACCAUGGGAGGAAGCCCCGGCUAACUACGUGCCAGCAGCCGCGGUAAUACGUAGGGGGCGAGCGUUGUCCGGAAUUACUGGGCGUAAAGGGUUCGCAGGCGGCAUGGCAAGUCCGAUGUAAAAGGCGAAGGCUCAACCUUCGUAAGCAUCGGAAACUGUCAAGCUUGAGUGAAGGAGAGGCAAGUGGAAUUCCUAGUGUAGCGGUGGAAUGCGUAGAUAUUAGGAGGAAUACCGGUGGCGAAGGCGACUUGCUGGACUUC
rnacentral:rRNA from 1 species